UGGGGAAUAUUGCACAAUGGGCGCAAGCCUGAUGCAGCCAUGCCGCGUGUAUGAAGAAGGCCUUCGGGUUGUAAAGUACUUUCAGCGGGGAGGAAGGCGAUAAGGUUAAUAACCUUGUCGAUUGACGUUACCCGCAGAAGAAGCACCGGCUAACUCCGUGCCAGCAGCCGCGGUAAUACGGAGGGUGCAAGCGUUAAUCGGAAUUACUGGGCGUAAAGCGCACGCAGGCGGUCUGUCAAGUCGGAUGUGAAAUCCCCGGGCUCCACCUGGGAACUGCAUUCGAAACUGGCAGGCUAGAGUCUUGUAGAGGGGGGUAGAAUUCCAGGUGUAGCGGUGAAAUGCGUAGAGAUCUGGAGGAAUACCGGUGGCGAAGGCGGCCCCCUGGACAAAGACUGACGCUCAGGUGCGAAAGCGUGGGGAGCAAACA
rnacentral:rRNA from 1 species